GGAGGUGUAGCUCAACAAUAGAGCUCUUGCUUAGCAUACAUGUGGUCCUAGGUUCAAUCCCCAGUACUAUCA
rnacentral:tRNA from 1 species